rnacentral:rRNA from 1 species
GGGAAAGGUGAAAAGCACCCCGGAAGGGGAGUGAAAGAGAUCCUGAAACCGUGUGCCUACAAGUAGUCAGAGCCCGUUAACGGGUGAUGGCGUGCCUUUUGUAGAAUGAACCGGCGAGUUACGAUCCCGUGCAAGGUUAAGCAGAAGAUGCGGAGCCGCAGCGAAAGCGAGUCUGAAUAGGGCGAAUUGAGUACGUGGUAGUAGACCCGAAACCAGGUGAUCUACCCAUGUCCAGGGUGAAGUUCAGGUAACACUGAAUGGAGGCCCGAACCCACGCACGUUGAAAAGUGCGGGGAUGAGGUGUGGGUAGGGGUGAAAUGCCAAUC